CAGAGAGCCGCCCCGGCCGUCACUCCCAUGGCGUUCCCUGCCGGUGCCUGCUCAGAUUUAUGGGGCAGUCGGGCGUCAGACUCUCGACCUGAAAGGGAUUUGGGCUUUCUUAGUGGUUAGGGAGGUGGUCAGGGGAGCAAUGGUGGACUCUCUCUAAGCACCUAAUACCCAGUACUGGGCCUCUAGUCUGGCACACCCACCUUAUCCUGGUCUCACACACCUCGGACACUCUGGACAUUACCGACAACGGCCCGGUCUGGCGCCGAUAGCCGCAGUGUGGAUGGCAGCAGCACCAAGGUUGGAGUCCCCUUACCGACGCCCACACAGCCACAUACCACGCUCCGCCGUGCAGACACCCAGGCACAGGACGAGCCAACGGAACAUCUGACCAUGAAGUUUGCCAGGCUGUGGAUUCUCCAGCCCUGCAACCACAGAAAGUCAUUCUCCAUCCAUAUUAAAGCUCAGCCCUCUCCAUCACUGGUGCCCCUGACAACACAGGAAAUGGAUCCCACCCGACGGCAGAUUCAGCCUCCACACUGUUUAUCACCACAAUUAUCCCCCAUUCAUUCACAGGCUUAUAAGGUGUGGUUAUAUGGUGUUGGGGGGGGCUGACACCCUUGGUCAGGGACUUACGGGGGGUGCAGGGGAGCGAGGAGAGAGAUGCAGAGAGAACCCUGUGGACCCACAGAGUGGCGUGGCAGACUCCCCAGCCUCCUGCUAGGAUUUGUUGGAAUGUGAGAGAGGAGGAUUUCAGCGCCAGGCCAGAGCCAUGCAGACUUCAUGCCAUCUGUCUCCCCCUCCGUCCUCCCUUUGCCAAACUCAUCAGACCUUUUUUUCUCUCCUUUUCAUCCCUUGUUCACAAGACUAGGGAUCUGCUAACGCACUGGAGGAAAGAAUGGAGGGAAGAAAUGGAAGAAGAGCUCAAUAAACAAAUGAAUAUGUAUUCAUGGAGUUGAUGUACUGACAUCCUGUACGAUAUACAGUAUCUGUGACAGAGAAACUGAGUCUUCGUGUUGUAUCAAAGUUUAAUGACCAUAAAACACUUCCAAGAGUCAGUAAAGUCAGUCAGUAAAGUCUAACACUGUGAUGAAGGCAUCAAUGUCAAAAAUGUGUUUCUUUUAAUAACAAUGACCCAUACGUAUUUAACUUCCAUUG